rnacentral:rRNA from 1 species
AGUGAACGCUGGCGGUAGGCCUAACACAUGCAAGUCGAACGGCAGCACAGUAAGAGCUUGCUCUUACGGGUGGCGAGUGGCGGACGGGUGAGGAAUACAUCGGAAUCUACUUUUUCGUGGGGGAUAACGUAGGGAAACUUACGCUAAUACCGCAUACGACCUACGGGUGAAAGCAGGGGAUCUUCGGACCUUGCGCGAUUGAAUGAGCCGAUGUCGGAUUAGCUAGUUGGCGGGGUAAGGGCCCACCAAGGCGACGAUCCGUAGCUGGUCUGAGAGGAUGAUCAGCCACACUGGAACUGAGACACGGUCCAGACUCCUACGGGAGGCAGCAGUGGGGAAUAUUGGGCAAUGGGCGCAAGCCUGAUCCAGCCAUACCGCGUGGGUGAAGAAGGCCUUCGGGUUGUAAAGCCCUUUUGUUGGGAAAGAAAAGCAGCAGGUUAAUACCCCGCUGUUCUGACGGUACCCAAAGAAUAAGCACCGGCUAACUUCGUG